rnacentral:lncRNA from 1 species
AAGAGAUCUUUGGUUUUGCCUUUGCUGACUGCUGAUCUGAUCGUCUCAAGUCUGGUGACCUGCUGCAGAAAACCCUCUCCCUCUAUCGUUGACAAGCAAUUAACAAGCAAUUUCAGUCUGUCCUAUCACUCUCCCUCUCCCUGCUCCAUCUUUUUUGACAAGCAAUUCAGUCUGUCCUAUCACUCUCCCUCUCCCUGCUCCAUCUUUUUUGACAAGCCAUUCUAUCUUCUAUCAUUUCUCCGCCACGAGCUCUAUCUAAGUUGACAAGCUUGAACCUGAGUUGAAAAGCAAAACAAGUUUGCCUGAAACCAAGUUUGCCUGAAACCAAGUUUGCCUGAAACCAAGUUUGAGAUAAACCAAGUUUGAGAUAAACCAAGUUUGAGAUAAACCAAGUUUGAGAUAAACCAAGUUUGAGAUAAACCAAGUUUGAGAAGAAACCAAGUUUUUGGAAUUGAAGUUACCACAACUUCAUCGAUCUGUUUUCAGAAUUCGGAGAGAUCUCCGCUCUCACUGCUCCUUCUUUCCUGUCAUUAAACUUUCAUAUCCACUCAUUUUGCUGGAAAUUACAAGUAAAAAGUUGAAUAUACAGUAGUAGAAUUACAG